rnacentral:rRNA from 1 species
GAAUAGAAACUAGUUUCUAGGCGGCGGACGGGUGAGUAACGCGUGAGUAACCUGCCUAUCACUGGGGAAUAACGCAUCGAAAGGUGUGCUAAUACCGCAUGAGACCACAAUGUCGCAUGACGAAGGGGUCAAAGAUUUAUUGGUGAUAGAUGGGCUCGCGUCUGAUUAGCUAGUUGGUGAGGUAACGGCCCACCAAGGCGACGAUCAGUAGCCGACCUGAGAGGUUGAACGGCCACAUUGGGACUGAGACACGGCCCAGACUCCUACGGGAGGCAGCAGUGGGGGAUAUUGCACAAUGGGGGAAACCCUGAUGCAGCAACGCCGCGUGAGGGAAGAAGGUUUUCGGAUUGUAAACCUCUGUUUUUAGUCAAGAAAAAAAUGACGGUAGCUAAAGAGGAAGCCACGGCUAACUACGUG